GAGAUUCCCCCAGUAGCGGCGAGCGAACGGGGAGGAGCCCAGAGCCUGAAUCAGUGUGUGUGUUAGUGGAAGCGUCUGGAAAGGCGCGCGAUACAGGGUGACAGCCCCGUACACAAAAAUGCACAUGCUGUGAGCUCGAUGAGUAGGGCGGGACACGUGGUAUCCUGUCUGAAUAUGGGGGGACCAUCCUCCAAGGCUAAAUACUCCUGACUGACCGAUAGUGAACCAGUACCGUGAGGGAAAGGCGAAAAGAACCCCGGCGAGGGGAGUGAAAAAGAACCUGAAACCGUGUACGUACAAGCAGUGGGAGCACGCUUAGGCGUGUGACUGCGUACCUUUUGUAUAAUGGGUCAGCGACUUAUAUUCUGUAGCAAGGUUAACCGAAUAGGGGAGCCGAAGGGAAACCGAGUCUUAACUGGGCGUUAAGUUGCAGGGUAUAGACCCGAAACCCGGUGAUCUAGCCAUGGGCAGGUUGAAGGUUGGGUAACACUAACUGGAGGACCGAACCGACUAAUGUUGAAAAAUUAGCGGAUGACUUGUGGCUGGGGGUGAAAGGCCAAUCAAACCGGGAGAUAGCUGGUUCUCCCCGAAAGCUAUUUAGGUAGCGCCUCGUGAAUUCAUCUCCGGGGGUAGAGCACUGUUUCGGCAAGGGGGUCAUCCCGACUUACCAACCCGAUGCAAACUGCGAAUACCGGAGAAUGUUAUCACGGGAGACACACGGCGGGUGCUAACGUCCGUCGUGAAGAGGGAAACAACCCAGACCGCCAGCUAAGGUCCCAAAGUCAUGGUUAAGUGGGAAACGAUGUGGGAAGGCCCAGACAGCCAGGAUGUUGGCUUAGAAGCAGCCAUCAUUUAAAGAAAGCGUAAUAGCUCACUGGUCGAGUCGGCCUGCGCGGAAGAUGUAACGGGGCUAAACCAUG
rnacentral:rRNA from 1 species